GUGCUUGCUGUGGCAGCACAUAUACUAAAAUUAGAACAAGGCAGAGGUUAGCAUGGCCCCUGUGCAAGGAUAACAGGCAAAUUCGUGAAGCCUUCCAUAUUUUU
ensembl:snRNA U6 U6 spliceosomal RNA